rnacentral:lncRNA from 1 species
GCAAAUUGAAUCACUAAAUUUAUUUUAUGAGAGAGGAAGUUCAUCAACAACGAUACAAAUAGCUAAACGAUGGACAAUGAGUAUUUACCCCUUUGUGCAAUGUCUCUAUGACAAUUCCUCCAAGUUACUUUUAUGGGCAUUUUAAUGAUUUUGAAAUCUCUGUGUGAGAAAAAAAAUAGAAAGUAGGGAUAACGUACAUAUGUUUAUGUAGGUUUAUAGCACUUCAAUGUGCCAAAACUCUUAGUCUUAGACAAGAUCUCUUAGGAGUAUUCACUCCAUUGUAAAUGCUCUUUUCGUGUCUGGAGGUUAGGUUGCCAUGUCCCCCUCUGACUCUGUAACUUUUGUCUAUCUUAUUAACAUGGUUAAAAAAAAAAGAAAAAAAAAAAGGGGAUAACGUACAUAUGAUGUGAGGUAGCGGGGAUUGGAACGUGGGG